rnacentral:rRNA from 1 species
AGCGAACGCUGGCGGCGUGCCUAACACAUGCAAGUCGAACGUGAAAAGGGGCAACCCUGAGUAAAGUGGCGUACGGGUGAGUAACACGUAGGUAAUCUACCCCAGAAUCUGGAAUAACCUGCCGAAAGGCGGGCUAAUACUGGAUAGAGCGAUGGAACUCGUAAUUGGGUUUUCGGGAAAGGGAGCUCGCAAGAGCCUUCGUUUUGGGAUGAGCCUGCGUCUGAUUAGCUAGUUGGCGGGGUAAUGGCCCACCAAGGCGAUGAUCAGUAGCUGGUCUGAGAGGAUGAUCAGCCACACUGGAACUGAAACACGGUCCAGACUCCUACGGGAGGCAGCAGUGGGGAAUCUUGCGCAAUGGACGAAAGUCUGACGCAGCCACGCCGCGUGAGUGAAGAAGGCCUUCGGUGUAAGACGUC